rnacentral:tRNA from 1 species
GCCUUCGUGGUAUAGUGGUCAACACGCUUGUCGCGUAUUCUAGAGGUACGUGGUUCAAAUCCCGGCGAGGGCA